GGAGGGUGCAAGCUUUGUCCGGAUUUAUUGGGUUUAAAGGGUGCGUAGGCGGUCUUUUAAGUCAGCGGUGAAAUCCUCCAGCUUAACUGGAGAACUGCCAUUGAUACUGGAAGACUUGAGUACAGACGAGGUAGGCGGAAUUGACAGUGUAGCGGUGAAAUGCAUAGAUAUUGUCAAGAACACCGAUUGCGAAGGCAGCUUACUAGACUGUAACUGACGCUGAGGCACGAAAGUGUGGGGAUCAAACAGG
rnacentral:rRNA from 1 species